CGCAAAUAUUAAAAUAAGUGUUUAUUUGACCAAGCGCUCCGAUGCAAUAAUUGAUUUACACCAAUAUAUUGGGAAACAUCACACCUUGGGCGAUGUUGAUCCCCUCAAAUAAUGACAGCAUAACGAAAGUAGUAUAAAAGACCUUACUACGAAAUAUUUUUGCAUUCCUGCUUCAUCGACAGAGUAGGAGCGAAUGUUCAGCAAAGGUGGACAAAUUAUAACGGAACGAAGAGCUGCCUUAAAAGCUAAGCAUGUGGACAUGCUCCUUUUUCACAAUUCUCGGAUCUUGGCAGAAGACUGAUCCUUAAUUUUAAUUUUAUUCAAAUUUGUUUUGAUUUACUAUGUCCAUGAAGGAUCUCAUUAUGUUAAACAUAUGAAAUGUUUAUUAAAAUGUUAAUUUUUAAUUAUGAAGCAUGGCGGUGGAAGUGUCCUGGUUGGGGCAUGCAUGGCGGCUUCGGGAGUUGGAAUCCUGGUUUUGAUCGAAGGAACAAUGGACAGACAUAUGUAUCUAUCAGUUUUUUCAUAGCCCGGGAACCUAUCUUUGAUCUUUCCAUGGUUGCCUAUAGAAAAUCUUAAUUCACUUUGCGUCGUUUCAGUUUGCGUCGUGUUUUUUUGGAACGUAUCCCCAACGCAAAGCUAGGUCUAGGUGUAGUUCGUCUAAACUAAUGUAAAUACUCUUAAUCCUAUAAUAUAAAUAUUUAUUAUUGUUAUUAAUCAAUAUUAUCAUUUAGUAAAGGAUAAAAAUGUAAAACUA